rnacentral:rRNA from 1 species
GACGAACGCUGGCGGCGUGCUUAACACAUGCAAGUCGAGCGGUAAGGCCCUUUCGGGGGUACACGAGCGGCGAACGGGUGAGUAACACGUGGGUGACCUGCCCUCAGCUCUGGGAUAAGCCUGGGAAACUGGGUCUAAUACCGGAUAUGACUCCAUGACGCAUGUUGUGGGGUGGAAAGCCUUGUGCGGCUGAGGAUGGGCCCNCGGCCUAUCAGCUUGUUGGUGGGGUGAGGCCUACCAAGGCGACGACGGGUAGCCGGCCUGAGAGGGCGACCGGCCACACUGGGACUGAGACACGGCCCAGACUCCUACGGGAGGCAGCAGUGGGGAAUCUUGCGCAAUGGGCGAAAGCCUGAC